rnacentral:rRNA from 1 species
UACAGAGGGUGCGAGCGUUGUUCGGAAUUACUGGGCGUAAAGCGCGCGCAGGCGGCCUUUUAAGUCUCGUGGUGAAAUGCCGGGGCUCAACCUCGUGCCCGCCGGAGAUACUGGGAGGCUGGAGACAUGUAGAGGCAAGCGGAAUUCCGGGUGUAGCGGUGGAAUGCGUAGAGAUCCGGAAGAACACCGGAGGCGAAGGCGGCUUGCUGGGCAUUGUCUGACGCUGAGGCGCGAAAGCCAGGGGAGCGAACGGG